rnacentral:lncRNA from 1 species
AGUCAUAUGAUAGAUGUGAUUAGCUCAAGUCCAAUAGUGAUUUCAAAUAAAAAUUUCUUUUCAUUAAUCACACUACUAUGGUUAUAAACUUAUGGACUCAGCUUCUCAAAUCUUAUAGGACUAUUCCUCUCUAUCAAGAUCGAUAGAUCCUAUAUAGAAACACACAUUGCUCGCACAGCUCAACCAACUAAAGCCAACAUCUACUAUAAAAACUCACGAUCGAGUUAAUGUUUAUGUGUAGUCAAACUAUAGCAGUCUUACUAUGAGCAAUUAUGAUACCAC